UACGUAGGGUGCGAGCGUUGUCCGGAAUUAUUGGGCGUAAAGGGCUCGUAGGCGGUUUGUCGCGUCGGGAGUGAAAUCACUGGGCUUAACCGAGUGCUUGCUUUCGAUACGGGCAGACUUGAGGCAUUGAGGGGAGAACGGAAUUCCUGGUGUAGCGGUGAAAUGCGCAGAUAUCAGGAGGAACACCGGUGGCGAAGGCGGUUCUCUGGCAAUGUUCUGACGCUGAGGAGCGAAAGUGUGGGGAGCGAAACAGG
rnacentral:rRNA from 1 species